rnacentral:rRNA from 1 species
GACGAACCGUGCGAACGUUGUUCGGAAUCACUGGGCUUAAAGGGCGCGUAGGCGGGCCGGCAAGUCAGGGGUGAAAUCCCACGGCUCAACCGUGGAAGUGCCUUUGAUACUGCCGGUCUGGAGGGAGGUAGGGGCGUGCGGAACUUCCGGUGGAGCGGUGAAAUGCGUAGAUAUCAGGAGGAAUACCGAUGGCGAAGGCAGGUCUCUGGGCUGAUACUGACGCUCAUGCACGAAAGCGUGGGGAGCAAACAGG